rnacentral:rRNA from 1 species
AUGGGGAAGAGCAAGAAGAGCAAGGUCCGCGGCGGCGGAGGGGACGACCUUCUGGACAGCAGCGACGCCGACAGCGUGGGCUCGUCGUCCACCGCGCUCUCAGAUCUCUCCAUCUCGUACGCCACCGAGAACGUCAACUCGCACGAGUUUGUUCUCGACAAGUACAUCGACGCUCUCUACGAGAAGAGGGGUUCUACAAGAGAGGCAGCGUUGGCUUCAUUGGUUGAUGCUUUUGAAAGUUUUAUGCUUGGUGGUCUUGUUGAGAACAAAUAUGCCACUCUACUGAGUCUAUUCAAUACUUCGAUCAAGAAGGGAUCUACCAAGGAGGCUUGCCUGGCAUCUCGCGCCAUUGGGCUACUGUCUAUUACACUUGGUGCUGGCAGUAGCUCACAUGAAACAAUGGUAGAAUCACAUCCACAGCUUUCUAAGGUCCUUCAAACCUGGUCGGAUGCUUCAAAGAUGAUCUCUGCUCUUGACUGCUUGGCGGUCGUCACAUUUGUUGGUGCAACUGAUCUGGCUGAAACAGAGGUAUCUUUGAAAGCCAUGUGGGAUGUGAUUCAUCCAAAAUCAGGUUCAAAUGUCGGUACUGUCCGGAAACCAAGGCCACCUGUGUUAGCAGCUGCUCUAUCUGCAUGGACUUUUCUGCUAACAACUAUUGGUUCAUGGCGGAUAAACACUGAUAGCUGGAAGGAGCCAAUUGCGUUUCUCUCUACUCUUCUAGGAGCAGAGGAUCGUGCUGUUCGGAUGGCUGCUGGUGAAGCAUUAGCUUUGUGCUUUGAGUUAAAUCUACUUGAUAUCUCCCCUUCUGAAGAUGCUGAUGAUGACACUGGAGUACCUGGUAGCUCUAAGGGCAAACUUUUCCUGGAUAUGCAAGCAUUGAAAGCCAAGAUAGCCGGUCUUGCCUCAAAUCUCUCUGCGGAGGCAGGGGGCAAAGGCGCAGACAAGAAAAAUCUUUCUGACCAAAGAGAUCUGUUUCAACGGAUUUUGGAUUUUGUCAAGUAUGGCGAGUGCCCUGAAGAAUCAAUGAAGAUUGCUGGAAAACGUGAUGUUUUAAGGGUUGCAUCAUGGUCUGAAUUGAUUCAGUUGAACUUCUUCAAGCGUUUCCUUGGGAGAGGCUUCCUGAAGCAUGUGCAGGACAAUGGACUUCUUCAAGAUAUCUUCAACAUCAAGGCUGACAAGGCUGAAACGCUGUCAUCGAAUGACAAGAAAAUCUUUAGAUCUGGAGAAGAGAAAGGAAGAGCUCUGAAGCUGAACAAGGAUCGUCGUUUAGCACAGGAGAGGAAGAACGCUGGCAUGUUUGACGAGUAA